UCACAACAUCACUCCCUUCUUCCCCCCUUACAACCUACAAACUCUCUCUAUAGUCUCACCAUUUUCAUCUUCUCAUCAACCAAAUCUAAGACUUUCAAAGGCGACCCAAAGCAUUACAAGGUGUUUCAAAGGGUUUACAAGUUCAAGGAGUUUCACGAAAGGUGUUCUUACACUUGUGGAGCUUUUAUCUUCUUCUUUGUUCAUCAAGAGAUAAUCCUUAGCCCUUGUGCCAGUAAAUUCAUGUAAAUAUGUUCUUGAAAGUAAGUAGAUCCUGCACAGUUGAAAUCAAGGCACAAGGAUCACAAGUCGAUGCCAUCUUUUGAAGGGUUUGGUUCAUAUAUUUCGCCUUCACGCGAAAUAUAGGAUGCAAAGCCUUGGUUUAUUUCAACAAUAUUUUGUGUAAAAGUCACUUGUUGGAGUUAAACCUUUAGGUUAUGUCUCAUGAACAAAUACUUGACUUGUAAUUUGUUUUAAACAAUCUAUGGAUGGGCAUCGUAUCUAUUU
rnacentral:lncRNA from 1 species